rnacentral:rRNA from 1 species
AGAGUUUGAUCAUGGCUCAGAUUGAACGCUGGCGGCAGGCCUAACACAUGCAAGUCGAACGGUAACAGGAAACAGCUUGCUGUUUCGCUGACGAGUGGCGGACGGGUGAGUAAUGUCUGGGAAACUGCCUGAUGGAGGGGGAUAACUACUGGAAACGGUAGCUAAUACCGCAUAACGUCGCAAGACCAAAGAGGGGGACCUUCGGGCCUCUUGCCAUCAGAUGUGCCCAGAUGGGAUUAGCUAGUAGGUGGGGUAACGGCUCACCUAGGCGACGAUCCCUAGCUGGUCUGAGAGGAUGACCAGCCACACUGGAACUGAGACACGGUCCAGACUCCUACGGAAGGCAGCAGUGGGAAUAUUGCACAAUGGGCGCAAGCCUGAUGCAGCCAUGCCGCGUGUAUGAAGAAGGCCUUCGGGUUGUAAAGUACUUUCAGCGGGGAGGAAGGGAGUAAAGUUAAUACCUUUGCUCAUUGACGUUACCCGCAGAAGAAGCACCGGCUAACUCCGUGCCAGCAGCCGCGGUAAUACGGAGGGUGCAAGCGUUAAUCGGAAUUACUGGGCGUAAAGCGCACGCAGGCGGUUUGUUAAGUCAGAUGUGAAAUCCCCGGGCUCAACCUGGGAACUGCAUCUGAUACUGGCAAGCUUGAGUCUCGUAGAGGGGGGUAGAAUUCCAGGUGUAGCGGUGAAAUGCGUAGAGAUCUGGAGGAAUACCGGUGGCGAAGGCGGCCCCCUGGACGAAGACUGACGCUCAGGUGCGAAAGCGUGGGGAGCAAACAGGAUUAGAUACCCUGGUAGUCCACGCCGUAAACGAUGUCGACUUGGAGGUUGUGCCCUUGAGGCGUGGCUUCCGGAGCUAACGCGUUAAGUCGACCGCCUGGGGGGUACGGCCGCAAGGUUAAAACUCAAAUGAAUUGACGGGGGCCCGCACAAGCGGUGGAGCAUGUGGUUUAAUUCGAUGCAACGCGAAGAACCUUACCUGGUCUUGACAUCCACGGAAGUUUUCAGAGAUGAGAAUGUGCCUUCGGGAACCGUGAGACAGGUGCUGCAUGGCUGUCGUCAGCUCGUGUUGUGAAAUGUUGGGUUAAGUCCCGCAACGAGCGCAACCCUUAUCCUUUGUUGCCAGCGGUCCGGCCGGGAACUCAAAGGAGACUGCCAGUGAUAAACUGGAGGAAGGUGAGGAUGACGUCAAGUCAUCAUGGCCCUUACGACCAGGGCUACACACGUGCUACAAUGGCGCAUACAAAGAGAAGCGACCUCGCGAGAGCAAGCGGACCUCAUAAAGUGCGUCGUAGUCCGGAUUGGAGUCUGCAACUCGACUCCAUGAAGUCGGAAUCGCUAGUAAUCGUGGAUCAGAAUGCCACGGUGAAUACGUUCCCGGGCCUUGUACACACCGCCCGUCACACCAUGGGAGUGGGUUGCAAAAGAAGUAGGUAGCUUAACCUUCGGGAGGGCGCUUACCACUUUGUGAUUCGUGACUGGGGUGAAGUCGUAACAAGGUAACCGUAGGGGAACCUGCGGUUG